AUUGAACGCUGGCGGCAGGCUUAACACAUGCAAGUCGAGCGGAGUGAUGGUGCUUGCACUAUCACUUAGCGGCGGACGGGUGAGUAAUGCUUAGGAAUCUGCCAUUUAGUGGGGGACAACAUUCCGAAAGGAAUGCUAAUACCGCAUACGUCCUACGGGAGAAAGCAGGGGAUCUUCGGACCUUGCGCUAAAUGAUGAGCUUAAGUCGGAUUAGCUAGUUGGUGGGGUAAAGGCCUACCAAGGCGACGAUCUGUAGCGGGUCUGAGAGGAUGAUCCGCCACACUGGGACUGAGACACGGCCCAGACUCCUACGGGAGGCGGCAGUGGGGAAUAUUGGACAAUGGGCGGAAGCCUGAUCCAGCCAUGCCGCGUGUGUGAAGAAGGCCUUUUGGUUGUAAAGCACUUUAAGCGAGGAGGAGGCUCUCCUAGUUAAUACCUAGGAAGAGUGGACGUUACUCGCAGAAUAAGCACCGGCUAACUCUGUGCCAGCAGCCGCCGUAACAC
rnacentral:rRNA from 1 species